UUAAUAACAACAUUGUAUCCCUUAAGGAUUCUUAUUAACUCUAACGCUUUUUUGUUUGUUUGUUUUUUGUAACUCUUCCGCUUUUGUGAUAGACAUGCAGAGACACAUCAUUAUUUUCUUUGGUUCUUUGUGGAGGGCUCUGCUGGGCCUUCGUGCUUGUAACAGCAGCUGGCCCCGCUGCAGGACGUUCAUGUUGGGCUGUCCUAGAAAACAUGGGUAACAGGUGGCACAGAAAAUUUUUUACUUCACACGAGAAAGAUGGUGAAGUUAAAGAAUCUGUUGACCUUGAAAGUUUCCCACGUGAAAGGAAGCGCCUGGGAACCUGCUGGGUGACCCCUCAGCCGAGGACGUUGGAGCUCAUGAUCAUGAAGGUCACCGGUGAUGCUCUUAGCCCUUCCUGAGUGGAUUGUCCUGAAGUCAAAAGACCGACUUCUCUUUGUUAUAAGUGCCUCCAAAUAUAUUAAAUUACCAUUUAUCAAGCACCAGAAUU